ensembl:snRNA U6 U6 spliceosomal RNA
CUGCUCACCUCAGCAGCCUUUAUACUAAAAUUGGAACAUACAGAAAAGAUUCGCACAGCCCCAGGCAAUGAUGAGGCACAGAUUCAUGAAGCAUUCCAUAUUUUC